rnacentral:rRNA from 1 species
CAGCUUGCUGGGUGGAUUAGUGGCGAACGGGUGAGUAACACGUGAGUAACCUGCCCUUAACUCUGGGAUAAGCCUGGGAAACUGGGUCUAAUACCGGAUAGGAGCGUCCACCGCAUGGUGGGUGUUGGAAAGAUUUAUCGGUUUUGGAUGGACUCGCGGCCUAUCAGCUUGUUGGUGAGGUAAUGGCUCACCAAGGCGACGACGGGUAGCCGGCCUGAGAGGGUGACCGGCCACACUGGGACUGAGACACGGCCCAGACUCCUACGGGAGGCAGCAGUGGGGAAUAUUGCACAAUGGGCGCAAGCCUGAUGCAGCGACGCCGCGUGAGGGAUGACGGCCUUCGGGUUGUAAACCUCUUUCAGUAGGGAAGAAGCGAAAGUGACGGUACCUGCAGAAGAAGCACCGGCUAACUACGUGCCAGCAGCCGCGGUAAUACGUAGGGUGCGAGCGUUAUCCGGAAUUAUUGGGCGUAAAGAGCUCGUAGGCGGUUUGUCGCGUCUGUCGUGAAAGUCCGGGGCUUAACCCCGGAUCUGCGGUGGGUACGGGCAGACUAGAGUGCAGUAGGGGAGACUGGAAUUCCUGGUGUAGCGGUGGAAUGCGCAGAUAUCAGGAGGAACACCGAUGGCGAAGGCAGGUCUCUGGGCUGUAACUGACGCUGAGGAGCGAAAGCAUGGGGAGCGAACAGGAUUAGAUACCCUGGUAGUCCAUGCCGUAAACGUUGGGCACUAGGUGUGGGGACCAUUCCACGGUUUCCGCGCCGCAGCUAACGCAUUAAGUGCCCCGCCUGGGGAGUACGGCCGCAAGGCUAAAACUCAAAGGAAUUGACGGGGGCCCGCACAAGCGGCGGAGCAUGCGGAUUAAUUCGAUGCAACGCGAAGAACCUUACCAAGGCUUGACAUGUUCUCGAUCGCCGUAGAGAUACGGUUUCCCCUUUGGGGCGGGUUCACAGGUGGUGCAUGGUUGUCGUCAGCUCGUGUCGUGAGAUGUUGGGUUAAGUCCCGCAACGAGCGCAACCCUCGUUCCAUGUUGCCAGCACGUAAUGGUGGGGACUCAUGGGAGACUGCCGGGGUCAACUCGUAGGAAGGUGAGGACGACGUCAAAUCAUCAUGCCCCUUAUGUCUUGGGCUUCACGCAUGCUACAAUGGCCGGUACAAUGGGUUGCGAUACUGUGAGGUGGAGCUAAUCCCAAAAAGCCGGUCUCAGUUCGGAUUGGGGUC